AUUAUUUUCCAGAUGAGGCCUGCUCAAGAGCAUUUGGCUGAUGGGGGCUGAAACCUCUCACUGCAACCAGGUUCAUUUGGCUCCAAGUCCUGUGUGCUCUUUAUGAAGUCAUAGCAAGGCCUGGACUAGGGUGAGAAAGGACAGGUGCCUGUGAGGCAGGACUUAAAGGAGGCGCUGGCCCUCAGGGGCAUGCGAGGGCAGGGUGAGCACCUGAGAGUGAGGGCCUCCUUAAAGUCUGUGGUCCAGGGUCCUUUGGUCCCCUAAUCCCAGAGCAGAAAAGAAAGCCUUCAAAUCCAGCUGCUGCCUGAAGAGCCUCAGACUCACUCCCCUGGGGCAGCAAAGUGCAUUUCUUUACCCACAAGGCCCUGUAGUGCUGACUGGAAGAUGGGGCUGUCAGGGACUCAUGGGAAAGAAUGGCACAUUGGAUACAAACUCAUUCGGCUUAGUUUUACCCUGUGGCUGCCCCUGUAGUGUCAUUUGUGACACCAGGAAUAUGUUCCAUACCAACCGAAUAGCUUCUCUUCCUAUUCGUGCCAGUGCAUGGAACUAUAUAAUCAUUCAUCUAUUCAUUAAUUCAUUUAUUUGUAGCCUUCCUCUUUAUAUAGGCUUAGAGAGCCACUACUCGAAGCCAAGCCUUACGUCAGGCAGCAGAGAUACCAAGAUGAGGUUGAAGAAAACACACGGCUUUCUCCACUCAUGGACUCCAAUGAGGAUGGCAACAACAUGGGCUGAGACUUGACCUUGUGACUCCAGCCUAGGAUUAUAUAAGGAUGUGACUGACCUUAGAGGAUUUCACGGGAACUUAGCUGUACACGUGGAACCCAUUUAUUUGCUGACACUUCUCAUUUCCUUUCAGAACAAACCUACAUUCCCAGACCUAUAAUUUUCUUGAGAAAAUGGGUUUAUUAUAAGUCACUCAAUAAAACACCCUACCAUGGCUUCCCAGUACAAA
ensembl:lncRNA LINC02153 long intergenic non-protein coding RNA 2153